rnacentral:rRNA from 1 species
UUUGGUGGCGAUAGCGAAGAGGUCACACCCGUUCCCAUGCCGAACACGGAAGUUAAGCUCUUCAGCGCCGAUGGUAGUCGGGGGUUUAUUACGGUAAAGGCAGCUCAUCAUGA